GGUCUAUGAUGUAUGAUAUUGUCCGUACCAUCUGAGUUCUUUUUGAAGAUCUCUUUGAUGUGCAAAAUUAUCUAAGGUACUGAGGCCU